CGUAAGCGUGCGCAGGCGGUUUGUAAGUCUGUCGUGAAGACCCGGGCUCAACCUGGGAAUUGCGAUGGAGACUGCAAGGCUUGAAUCUGGCAGAGGGGGGUAGAAUUCCACGUGUAGCAGUGAAAUGCGUAGAGAUGUGGAGGAACACCGAUGGCGAAGGCAGCCCCCUGGGUCAAGAUUGACGCUCAUGCACGAAAGCGUGGGGAGCAAACAGGAUUAGAUACCCCUGU
rnacentral:rRNA from 1 species